rnacentral:rRNA from 1 species
GGGAUUGCCUCAGUAACGGCGAGUGAAGCGGCAACAGCUCAAAUUUGAAAUCUGGCCGUUUACGGUCCGAGUUGUAAUUUGUAGAGGAUGUUUUGGGUACCGCCACGGUUUAAAUUUCUUGGAACAGAAUGUCAAAGAGGGUGAGAGUCCCGUCUUGGACCGCGGUAGGGCCUGUGUAAAACUCCUUCGACGAGUCGACUUGUUUGGGAAUGCAGGUCAAAAUGGGUGGUAAAUUUCAUCUAAAGCUAAAUAUUGGCCAGAGACCGAUAGCGCACAAGUAGAGUGAUCGAAAGAUGAAAAGCACUUUGAAAAGAGAGUUAAACAGUAUGUGAAAUUGUUGAAAGGGAAGCGCUGGCAACCAGACUCGUGCGCGGGGUUCCCCCUUGCUUCUGCUUGGGUCACUUCCCCGUGUCCGGGCCAUCAUCAGUUUUGGGGGCCGGUUAAAGACCUUGGGAAUGUAUCCACGCCUUCGGGGGUGGACUUAUAGCCCAGGGUGUCAUGCGGCCACCCGGGACUGAGGAACGCGCUUCGGCGAGGAUGAUGGCGUAAUGGUUGUCAGCGGCCCGUCUUGAAACACGGACCAAGGAGUCUAACAUCUAUGCGAGUGUUCGGGUGUCAAACCCUUGCGCGGAAUGAAAGUGAACGGAGGUAGGAAGGCUUAAGCCUGCACUAUCGACCGAUCCUGAUGUCUUCGGAUGGAUUUGAGUAAGAGCAUAGCUGUUGGGACCCGAAAGAUGGUGAACUAUGCGUGAAUAGGGUGAAGCCAGAGGAAACUCUGGUGGAGGCUCGCAGCGGUU